GACGUGUACACGGAGCGCACGGAAGUUUGAUGCUAAAUGUUCAGUUAUCCGACUUUAUUUUGACAGGUUUAGUUACAUACGAUAUAUUUAAACAUCCAACGAGCUGGAGGUACAUAGAGGAUGGAUAAAGAAAAGUGAAAGCUGUGUUUUUAGACGCUAGCGUGCGCUUCCUGGCGGAUACUGAGCAUGUCUCUUCUUCAGGCUGUUGAUGAAGCAGUCAAGAUGUGCAAAGCUGAAGAAUCCAGACUCACUGAAAACAUCCGACAGUGCAAGGAGAUUUUACGCUCAAUGAGAACGCGUGUGACAGAAACUGCAGCAGCCGUCGGUACUAAAGACGGUUAGAGGAAAAUCAUUGAUCUAUUUCUAUUUAUUCGUC